AUUAAUGUUGUCCACAUAUUCUUGCAGCUUUGUCACUACAUCCUUCACACUGAACAAAGUAUUAGACCGCAGGAUAUGCUUGAAAAAUCAUUGAAAUAUCUGAUUCUCACAUGUUUUCUUCUACCUUUAAGCUAUCGAGGAGCUGAUGUAUUCCUGCUAGCAUUCUCUCUCAUAAGCAGGGCUAGCUAUGAAAAUGUUGCCAAGAAAUGGAUUCCUGAGUUGAGGCAUUAUGCUCCUGGUGUUCCAAUUAUUCUUGUUAGAACAAAACUUGGGAUGCCCUAGCCAUAAAGCACCUGCAUCUGAAGACAAAAAGGGGAAUAAUUCGAGUUCCACUUUGCAGGCUGGUUUACCUCUCAAACUCAGGUCAUGAAUGAGUCUCAAGCGAGAAACAAGAAUGAAGAGAUAAUAGCAAAGGUCACAAACUGGAGCACCCCUAAGGAGCACGACCCUCUGAAGAGCCUCUUAGGUGAGGCUGCUCACAGCCACAGCCCAAGUUCUCCAAAUUUGGAAGAAAACUUGGCAAGCAGAAAGAAUAGUAAACUUCCACAAAACAAUGGUUCUGGAUUGACAACUGUUAACUCCAUUCUAGGUCCUGAUUCGCCUUCAGCUCAAUCUCUGAUAAACGACGCUGCAAAAGAAUGGAACUCACCGGCAAGAUAUCCUACGGAAAUGAAGAGGGAAAAGAGGAAAGCCAAGAGCAGACCAUAUUGGAUACAAUUAGUAUGUUGCUCAUCAGUGGAUCUUCAGAGAAGGCAAAAACUGCCAUAUGAUGGUUAUGGUUAUAGUUAUAGUUAUUUUCAUGCUAUUUGGGGUCUUGUCUGCUUCUAGAGUUGAGAUACAUAUUUUGAUCAUGCGUCUCAUUCUAUUGAACUGGGUAGCCUCCUAUUCUAUUGAACUGGGUAGCCUCCUAGAAGUUUGGUUGUAUAUUUGAAGCAUGUUCAGUUGCCAUUAUUGUUUAUGUUAUUUUAAUGUAUCAUUAUCAUGGCUUUGGUGCCUUGUUAUAUAUUGAAAAUUAAGAAAACGUUGUGAUCUUGUGAGCUUUACAAGU